rnacentral:rRNA from 1 species
AUGACAUUCCACGACGAGGCGCCGCUGCUGCUCAGGAUCAACACCGCCAGAGGCGGCCACAUGGGCGGAGGCGAGUGCGACGAGGCCGAGAACCAGCGGUGGCCGCCGUGGCUCAAGCCGCUGCUGGCGACCAGCUUCUUCGGGCAAUGCAAGAUGCACGCGGACGCCCACAAGUGCGAGUGCAACAUGUACUGCCUCGACUGCGUCAACGGCGCGCUCUGCUCCCAGUGCCUCGCCUACCACCAUGGCCACCACGCCAUCCAGAUAAGGAGGUCCUCGUACCACGACGUGAUCCGCGUGUCGGAGAUCCAGAAGGUGCUGGACAUCACCGGCGUGCAGACCUACAUCAUCAACAGCGCGCGCGUCGUCUUCCUCAACGAGCGCCCGCAGCCCAGGCCCGGCAAGGGCGUCACCAACACCUGCGACGUCUGCGAGCGCAGCCUCCUCGACACCUUCCGCUUCUGCUCCCUCGGAUGCAAGAUCGUGGGCACCUCCGGCGAGUUCCGUGGCCGGAAGAGGCACGCCGGCGGCAAGAAGAUGAAGCUGAAGCUGAAGAAGGCGGCGGCGUCGGACUCAGACGACUCGUCCACCAUCACCAGCGGCGGGAGCGACAAGAGCAGCGUGGUACAGAGCUUCUCCCCGUCCACCCCGCCGGCCACCGCCAACAGCUACCGCUCCGCCAAGCGGCGCAAGGGCAUCCCGCACCGGUCGCCCUUCGGCAGCCUCAUCGUGGAGUUCUAG